CCUGUCUCUCAUCUGAUGAUCAUUUCCACUUUUCCAUGGGGUUGGACUGAUAGUGAGGAGAACCCACUGGCUUAGAAGCUGUCUCACCCCAGAGCCCAUCUUUGGUCCUUGGGACAGUUGACUGGAAACAUCACCAGAAACGUUAAGGGAAAUUCUGGACUUGCCAGAGGAGGAAGAGCUGAGCUUCCUCUGCUGUCCUCUGUCCUCAAACUGUGAAAGGAGGCUUGGCCAUGAGGAGGCCAGCACAGAGCCUGAAAGAAAGAGACCCCGAGUCUUCAUGAAGAGCUGGCCUGCUGUGCCCCCUUGAGAGGAGGCGGGGAUACUGGUGAAGAGAUGGGAGAGGCACCCCUUCUCCACAGAUAAAAAGUUUGACUUCUGGAA